GGAUAAAUCUGGGCACUUCCUUGGUUACAAAACUGGUUACCAAGGAAGGCCUAGACUAAACUGCCACAGGCUCCUAAUGUAAAGAUAGGAAAGAUGCCUUUUCUUUGGCUGCACUGAUAUAUCUCAGCUGAUUAGUUGGCUGAACCAGGGAUAAAAACUCUCCUUUGAAACUCGUAAAACACUCCUGAUUUUGUUUGUAGAGUCAACAUGAGCAAGAAUACCUGUAAUUCCUACGUGGGAAGAGCAGAAGUGUUUCAGAAGAAGCUCUGCAACACAACACUGAGGACGAGGACUCUUCCCAAGGAAUGGAGCCCUAUCUUGUGCGGAGAUUAUUGUCCCGUAACAUCCAGCUUCCCUCCCUAGCUUUCAGGCAGUUAGAACAGGCAUACUGGGAUAAAAACAAUGAUACUGAGACUAUCCCAAGACCCAUGACUCUUCCACUGAGGAUACCUCCUCUGAUUGCUGUUACAGCUGCUGAGUCCAGCAGGUAAGAUACAGUAACUUGUUCUUGAUUCAACAUUUCCGCUGGCAGGUGCAGGACAUCAGAUGCUGCUUCUAGGACAGAAGUGUAUUCCUUUUCUAAAUCUCCUAAAUG